rnacentral:misc_RNA from 1 species
AAGUCGUAACAAGGUUUCCGUAGGUGAACCUGCGGAAGGAUCAUUACUGAGCUCAUGCCCCUAACCGGGUAGAUCUCCACCCUUGAAUACUUAAACUUUGUUGCUUUGGCGGGCCGCUUAGGCUACUGGCUUCGGCUAGUGAGUGCCCGCCAGAGAACCACAAACUCUGAAUUAUAGUGUCGUCUGAGUACUAUUUAAUAGUUAAAACUUUCAACAACGGAUCUCUUGGUUCUG